GGCCCUAUCGUCUAGUUUGGUCCAGGACGCCACGCUUUCAAUGUGGAAACACGGGUCCGAAUCCCGUUGGGGCCA
rnacentral:tRNA from 1 species